rnacentral:rRNA from 3 species
UGGGGAAUUUUCCGCAAUGGGCGAAAGCCUGACGGAGCAACGCCGCGUGAGGGAUGAAGGCCUCUGGGCUGUAAACCUCUUUUAUCAAGGAAGAAGAUCUGACGGUACUUGAUGAAUAAGCCACGGCUAAUUCCGUG